rnacentral:ncRNA from 1 species
GUAUUUUAUAUUAAUAUAAUCAGUAUAACUUAAUAUUAUAAACAACAGAUAAGGGAAGCAGGUUCGAAACCUGCACGGUCCCGCCGCUGUGUUGGAGGAGUUCUCCAAAAUAUCCACUGGUACAUUAACCGGGAAGGGUUGGAGAGUGUUGAUGCCUAAGUCAGAAUACCUGUCUGUAUGUUUGCACUGGU